rnacentral:rRNA from 1 species
CAGUCGCCGCGGGAAUACGUAGGUGGCAAGCGUUGUCCGGAAUUAUUGGGCGUAAAGGGCUCGCAGGCGGUUUCUUAAGUCUGAUGUGAAAGCCCCCGGCUCAACCGGGGAGGGUCGUUGGAAACUGGGAAACUUGAGUGCAGAAGAGGAGAGUGGAAUUCCACGUGUAGCGGUGAAAUGCGUAGAGAUGUGGAGGAACACCAGUGGCGAAGGCGACUCUCUGGUCUGUAACUGACGCUGAGGAGCGAAAGCGUGGGGAGCGAACAGGAUUAGAUACCCCAGUAGUCCCUGUCUCUUAUAC